rnacentral:rRNA from 1 species
CCUACGGGUCGCAGCAGUGAGGAAUAUUGGUCAAUGGGCGCUAGCCUGAACCAGCCAAGUAGCGUGAAGGAUGACUGCCCUGUGGGUUGUAAACUUCUUUUAUAUGGGAAUAAAGUGCAGUAUGUAUACUGCUUUGCAUGUACCUUAUGAAUAAGGAUCGGCUAACUACGUGCCAGCAGCCGCGGUAAUACGUAGGGGGCAAGCGUUAUCCGGAUUUACUGGGUGUAAAGGGAGCGUAGGCGGCGUGCCAAGUCUGCUGUGAAAGGCCGGGGCUCAACCCCGGGACUGCAUUGGAAACUGGCAUGCUGGAGUGCGGGAGGGGCAAGCGGAAUGCCUAGUGUAGCGGUGAAAUGCGUAGAUAUUAGGAGGAACACCGGUGGCGAAGGCGGCUUGCUGGAUGGUAACUGACGUUGAGGCUCGAAAGCGUGGGGAGCAAACAGGAUUAGAUACCCGAGUAGUC